GAUGAACGCUAGCGAUAGGCUUAACACACGCAAGUCGAGGGGCAGCAUGGUCUUAGCUUGCUAAGACUGAUGGCGACCGGCGCACGGGUGCGUAACGCGUAUGCAACUUGCCUCACAGAGGGGGAUAACCCGUCGAAAGACGGACUAAUACCGCGUACACUUGGGAUAGGGCAUCCUGACCCAAGGAAAUGAAAUUCGCUGUGAGAUAGGCAUGCGUCCCAUUAGCUAGUUGGUGAGGUAACGGCUCACCAAGGCGACGAUGGGUAGGGGAACUGAGAGGUUGAACCCCCACACUGGUACUGAGACACGGACCAGACUCCUACGGGAGGCAGCAGUGAGGAAUAUUGGUCAAUGGGCGAGAGCCUGAACCAGCCAAGUCGCGUGAAGGAUGACUGUCUUAUGGAUUGUAAACUUCUUUUAUACGGGAAUAACAAGAGCCACGUGUGGCUCCCUGCAUGUACCGUAUGAAUAAGCAUCGGCUAACUCCGUG
rnacentral:rRNA from 1 species